UCCUUACUGUUAACGCGAAAUCCGUCUCUCGGCCCCCAACCAUGUAAGAAAUGUACAUCCGCUACUUUAACAGGACGUCAUCAGUGGGCGGGAACUCUGGGCUGAGAAAACUAAUCUCUCAAAUGAUUGGUAGAACUGGGCUUUUCACCAGUUUCGUCCAAUCGGAGACUCUGUUACAAGGAGAUCCUUACGGCAAAACAGACACCGGCAAUUAGAAGUGGAUAUUUAUUAGUUAUGGUCCGUUAUUUCCAUUCCCAGAGUGGAAACAUUUUUGUGUUCAUAUAUGGAAACCAUUUCAGCGAUCAUAUACUGAGGUCUGCAAGAAAAACAGAAAAUCGUGAGGUUCUACGGGGUGCUAUAAAGCUGUCUGGUGACUAAUACAAUUUUAAUAGUAAUAUAGUAGUUGACAUAAUACACAUUUCGCUAUGAAUUUCUGGUUUCCAUGGAAACAUUUUGGCGCACUUAAGCUCUCUGAAGUGCAUGAGAACUAAACUCUUACUGGAAACUUGAUCGCAUUGGCAGUUUAUACAACCUGGAGAGAGACAAGCGACAAGUCAAGCAGUGUGGGAAGCCAACAUCCUUCAAGGAUGAAGCAAAUGUCUGUCCCUGCCACCCCUGCCAGAGAGGUGACCCCCCCGGAAGCCCUGGGCUGCGUGCUGCUCCCAGGUCCGCUUUAAGGAGGACUUCUCCAAACCCCGAAAGGAGCUGUCCUCCCAGCGACGGGAGGCGUUCUCCCUGAGGUUUGCCGGCUGAUUGGUGACCAGGCAGAUCUUCCUCAGCACGGCUCGACGGAGGAGAAUGUAGACCCAAGGGUCCAGGAUCUGGUUCAAAGCGGCCAGGUGCACGCCCUUCAUCAUUAGAUAUCGGUAUUUCUCCAGGUCCUCCCCCAGCGACUCGUUGUGGGAUCGUAUUGCUGACAUCAAGCCCAAAAUCUGGGAAGCAGAGACAGAAUUUACUCCCGUUUAUAUCAAACAUUGACUUUCCACUGUCAUAUUUUCCCUUCGGUACGUGUUACAUAAUCGCUUGUUUUUAUACAAUUUCUCUACAUCCAGUCAUUUAAAAAUCAGACACAGUCAUAUAUACUACAUGUUACUGCUGCUGAUAUAUUCUAUGAAUAUUCAUUAAUUGUCAAGAAAUGUAUUUUAAUUCUAAAAACUUUCUUCACUUGGUGAUUCUUGACAGAUACAUUUCAACAGAGAAAUCUUUAGUUUUUGGAUGUUACCAUUUUCAAAAGUCUUGUAUUGUAAUUAUUUUUGAAGCUGCAAGGAAAAUAGAAGAAAAGAAGGAAUCUCACUGGUGUAGAGAGAAACACCCAGAGCAUAACUUUUGGGAUUGUCAUGCUACAUUGUUAAACAGGGCAGAUGUCGAAUGAAGGCCUCAUAGCUGAAUA